GAAUUUACGUUGAAUCAUUUCUAGAGCAUCAAUGUUUUUAUAACUGUGUGGGUCCCAAAUAAUACAUGCGUAUUCGAGGGCAGUUCUGAUGAUUGAAUUAUAGGCCAACAGCUUGACGGAUGGAGGGGCUUGUCGAAGUUUAUACCUGAGGAAUCAUAACUUAUGGAAGGCGGAUGCGCAUAUGUUAGAGUCAACCUAGCUCUAAGAAAUUUUAGACCUUUCGCACAAGCAUUCCAAUGCUCAAAUACGUCGUAUAUGAACCCACCUGAUACAGAAAGGUGCACUUUAUGGUGAUAAAACAGGAUAAGAGGACGAUGGAUGCUAUAAGGCACAAGCAAUUUGGAUGAAUUCUGUCAAAAUAUCUUAUUUCACUACGGACAUUCGUGUCUACAAAGUGUUUUGUCAUUUUCAUUCGCAAUGAAAUCAAUAAAUAUAACCAGUGA